AGUGAACGCUGGCGGUAGGCCUAACACAUGCAAGUCGAACGGCAGCACAGUAAGAGCUUGCUCUUACGGGUGGCGAGUGGCGGACGGGUGAGGAAUACAUCGGAAUCUACCUUUUCGUGGGGGAUAACGUAGGGAAACUUACGCUAAUACCGCAUACGACCUACGGGUGAAAGCAGGGGAUCUUCGGACCUUGCGCGAUUGAAUGAGCCGAUGUCGGAUUAGCUAGUUGGCGGGGUAAAGGCCCACCAAGGCGACGAUCCGUAGCUGGUCUGAGAGGAUGAUCAGCCACGCUGGAACUGAGACACGGUCCAGACUCCUACGGGAGGCAGCAGUGGGGAAUAUUGGACAAUGGGCGCAAGCCUGAUCCAGCCAUACCGCGUGGGUGAAGAAGGCCUUCGGGUUGUAAAGCCCUUUUGUUGGGAAAGAAAAGCAGCAGGUUAAUACCCCGCUGUUCUGACGGUACCCAAAGAAUAAGCACCGGCUAACUUCGUG
rnacentral:rRNA from 1 species